AAUGAACGUUGGCGGCGUGGAUUAGGCAUGCAAGUCGAGCGAGAACCGUAGCAAUACGGGGACAGCGGCGAAAGGGAGAGUAACACGUGGUUACCUACCCUCGGGUUCAGGAUAGCUGCGGGAAACUGCAGGUAAUACUGAAUAACAUCUCCGGAUCAAAGGUGUGAUUCCGCCCGGGGAGGGGACCGCGUCCUAUUAGCUAGUUGGCGAGGUAACGGCUCACCAAGGCGAAGAUGGGUAUGGGGUGUGAGAGCAUGCCCCCACUCACUGGGACUGAGACACUGCCCAGGCACCUACGGGUGGCUGCAGUCGAGAAUCUUCGGCAAUGGGCGCAAGCCUGACCGAGCGACGCCGCGUGCGAGAUGAAGGCCUUCGGGUUGUAAAUCGCUGUCAGAGGGGAGGAAAUUCCGGUGGGUUCUCCCAUCGGAUUGACCUAUCCUCAGAGGAAGGACGGGCUAAGUUCGUGCCAGCAGCCGCCGUAACAC
rnacentral:rRNA from 1 species